AGGGGCUGCAAGGGAUGGCAUUCGUCCACGUCUGGAAUGGGCACGGAGCAGCCGGGUGCGCGUGAGAUGACGAAGAGGCAGCUGGUGACUGGAGGAGUGACGUGUGCUUGUCCUCCAGAAGGAAGGGAAGAGGGAGAGACUCGGCCCCUUGAAAGCUAAGUUGAGGCAACGGUGCUGGGGAAGGGGUUGGGGGAGCGAGGGGGGGCACGGUUGGCUGUGGCAGGAAGGGGUUCUAAAGAGAGCGUAGGGGAGAGGGUUGUCUAGGAAGCGGUCCCCUUUGAGCAGGGGAAUGGAGCGGGUUCCUCUGAAAUAUGACAGUAGUGUGCCCUGGGCAGGGCGGUUCCAGGCUGUGCGUGUCGUUGUGUAGUGCGUCUGUGUGUUGGGUGUGUUUGACCUUCCUCGGGUCUCGGGUGUUCUUUGUUCCGCAGGAUCGAGGCAGGUGCCUCGGCAGCGUUAGUAGGGCCCGGCGAGGCCCUAGUCGUGGGCACGGCGCCCAUCGGGCGCUUCUCUUUUGGCGUCGCAAGCUUCCAGCGUGGAUCGUUUUGGCGUCUCGGGUGGUUCUGGCCGGUGGUCUUGUGCCGCGCCGUUCCCGGCCACGUGAGCGGCUCUGCUCACUCCCAGUCGCUUUUAGGGACUGGCGCUUCUUCCUUGCAUCUUCAGGGGCUGAGGUCUUGAAGGCGGGCUGCUUGCGCAUCCGUCUCGUCAGUUUUGAGAGGAAGCGCUUGUCCCCGCCCACGAAGGUGUCGUCGUUUUCUGGCGUGGCGCUAGGAGCACGCUAGGGUCCUGCGCCUGCUCUUACCGCAUGGAGGUUUUCUGUCCGUGCGUCGUCGCUCUCGCCGACCAACUUGGCUUGUAUUUUGAGGCGUGUUGUUGUUGGCGUUCUGUGUAGGGUUCGCCUGUGGUUGUGGUGUCUUGGCUUGGAGCCGCCCUGCCCGGGGGUGUCGAGUCAGGGCAAGGUGGCACAGGAACGAUGAGAGGCUAUGGCUUAUGUGUCAAAGUGCCUUGCUUCUUUGGGGGAAAUGAUGUGUGGCCCUCCUAGAUCGAGCGGCCGUUGUCAGUGGGUGAGAAGAAGAAUUCCCAUGGUGUUUUGUGGCUUCCCAGGGGCUGACGGUAGCUGUCGGGGAGAGGGAGCUCCUGCGUCAGCGGAGCAGAGAGCAUCUCAAGGGCGUUCCGGCUUGGAGGUGGGUCGGGCGUAAUGCUUGGUUUACGGUGCUUAGAUGGCAGAGCAGGCCUAGCUGGGCUCUCGAUGGGCUUGCUACCUGGGAACAAGGCCUGUGGAAUGGCUAAGCUAUUGCUGUUCAUUGAGGGGACUUGUUUGAUAUUUUGGCAGAUGCCGAGGGAGGAGUCGUGCAGGGCGACGGAGGAGGGCCGAGGAUAGCGCUGUAAGCAGGUGGUGGUCGAGCUUGAACAUGGCAGUUGGAACUGAUGGCGUCCAGGUAGGUGAGCUGGUGAGGAAAAGGUGCGAGUCUUAAACGGGGAUUGGUGUGGGUAGCUUGACGGUUCUGCAGCCUCUCAGCAGGUGCCUUUCUGCUUGGA